rnacentral:rRNA from 1 species
GACAGAGGGUGCAAACGUUGCUCGGAAUUACUGGGCGUAAAGCGCACGUAGGCGGCUUUUUAAGUCAGGGGUGAAAUCCUGGAGCUCAACUCCAGAACUGCCUUUGAUACUGAGAAGCUUGAGUCCGGGAGAGGUGAGUGGAACUGCGAGUGUAGAGGUGAAAUUCGUAGAUAUUCGCAAGAACACCAGUGGCGAAAGCGAGUCUCUGGACGACUCCUGACACUGAGGCACGAAAGCUAGGGGAGCAAA